AUCCAUCUGACGAGUCCUAAAUAGGACGAAAUGUGCGUCAAGCUGGAU
rnacentral:hammerhead_ribozyme from 1 species